rnacentral:rRNA from 1 species
UGGGCGUUAAGUUGCAGGGUAUAGACCCGAAACCCGGUGAUCUAGCCAUGGGCAGGUUGAAGGGUGGGUAACACUAACUGGAGGACCGAACCGACUAAUGUUGAAAAAUUAGCGGAUGACCUGUGGCUGGGGGUGAAAGGCCAAUCAAACCGGGAGAUAGCUGGUUCUCCCCGAAAGCUAUUUAGGUAGCGCCUCGUGAAUUCAUCUCCGGGGGUAGAGCACUGUUUCGGCUAGGGGGCCAUCCCGGCUUACCAACCCGAUGCAAACUGCGAAUACCGGAGAAUGUUAUCACGGGAGACACACGGCGGGUGCUAACGUCCGUCGUGAAGAGGGAAACAACCCAGACCGCCAGCUAAGGUCCCAAAGUCAUGGUUAAGUGGGAAACGAUGUGGGAAGGCCCAGACAGCCAGGAUGUUGGCUUAGAAGCAGCCAUCAUUUAAAGAAAGCGUAAUAGCUCACUGGUCGAGUCGGCCUGCGCGGAAGAUGUAACGGGGCUAAACCAUGCACCGAAGCUGCGGCAGCGACACUGUGUGUUGUUGGGUAGGGGAGCGUUCUGUAAGCCUGUGAAGGUGUGUCGUGAGGCAUGCUGGAGGUAUCAGAAGUGCGAAUGCUGACAUAAGUAACGAUAAAGCGGGUGAAAAGCCCGCUCGCCGGAAGACCAAGGGUUCCUGUCCAACGUUAAUCGGGGCAGGGUGAGUCGACCCCUAAGGCGAGGCCGAAAGGCGUAGUCGAUGGGAAACGGGUUAAUAUUCCCGUACUUGGUGUUACUGCGAAGGGGGGACGGAGAAGGCUAUGUUGGCCGGGCGACGGUUGUCCCGGUUUAAGCGUGUAGGUGUGUGUUCCAGGUAAAUCCGGUUCACUUUAACACUGAGGCGUGACGACGAGGCACUACGGUGCUGAAGCAACAAAUGCCCUGCUUCCAGGAAAAGCCUCUAAGCAUCAGGUAACAUCAAAUCGUACCCCAAACCGACACAGGUGGUCAGGUAGAGAAUACCAAGGCGCUUGAGAGAACUCGGGUGAAGGAACUAGGCAAAAUGGUGCCGUAACUUCGGGAGAAGGCACGCUGACACGUAGGUGAAGUGAUUUACUCAUGGAGCUGAAGUCAGUCGAAGAUACCAGCUGGCUGCAACUGUUUAUUAAAAACACAGCACUGUGCAAACACGAAAGUGGACGUAUACGGUGUGACGCCUGCCCGGUGCCGGAAGGUUAAUUGAUGGGGUCAGCGCAAGCGAAGCUCCUGAUCGAAGCCCCGGUAAACGGCGGCCGUAACUAUAACGGUCCUAAGGUAGCGAAAUUCCUUGUCGGGUAAGUUCCGACCUGCACGAAUGGCGUAAUGAUGGCCAGGCUGUCUCCACCCGAGACUCAGUGAAAUUGAACUCGCUGUGAAGAUGCAGUGUACCCGCGGCAAGACGGAAAGACCCCGUGAACCUUUACUAUAGCUUGACACUGAACAUUGAGCCUUGAUGUGUAGGAUAGGUGGGAGGCUUUGAAGUGUGGACGCCAGUCUGCAUGGAGCCGACCUUGAAAUACCACCCUUUAAUGUUUGAUGUUCUAACGUGGACCCGUUACCCGGGUUGCGGACAGUGUCUGGUGGGUAGUUUGACUGGGGCGGUCUCCUCCUAAAGAGUAACGGAGGAGCACGAAGGUUGGCUAAUCCUGGUCGGACAUCAGGAGGUUAGUGCAAUGGCAUAAGCCAGCUUGACUGCGAGCGUGACGGCGCGAGCAGGUGCGAAAGCAGGUCAUAGUGAUCCGGUGGUUCUGAAUGGAAGGGCCAUCGCUCAACGGAUAAAAGGUACUCCGGGGAUAACAGGCUGAUACCGCCCAAGAGUUCAUAUCGACGGCGGUGUUUGGCACCUCGAUGUCGGCUCAUCACAUCCUGGGGCUGAAGUAGGUCCCAAGGGUAUGGCUGUUCGCCAUUUAAAGUGGUACGCGAGCUGGGUUUAGAACGUCGUGAGACAGUUCGGUCCCUAUCUGCCGUGGGCGCUGGAGAACUGAGGGGGGCUGCUCCUAGUACGAGAGGACCGGAGUGGACGCAUCACUGGUGUUCGGGUUGUCAUGCCAAUGGCACUGCCCGGUAGCUAAAUGCGGAAGAGAUAAGUGCUGAAAGCAUCUAAGCACGAAACUUGCCCCGA